UUGAGAAACCUCCAAGGUGAACCCAGUCUGUUACUGCCAAGGCUCAAGACCCACUCAAAUACAAGUUAUAUGUGUAUUCUACAUAUUGAUAUGUUUUCAUAUAAUGAACAUGUACUCAUUAAGCCACUGAUGUGGUGAUUCAAUGCAAAGAACACCAGGUUGGAAUCCCUACCAGGAUGUAAUCUCGGCUCUUCUACUUUAGGUGCAUGAAAUGUUUAAUACAGUUAGAUUCUUCUGUUAUACUUCAUUAUUAGGAACUGAAUGUGGAAGAUUGUUUGGUCAAUACUGUAACACAGAAUAGAAUUUAUUCUUUGCAAGGAAUGCCAACAUAGCCCCAAAGGACAUGUGCCGGCACUUGAUUAUCUUAUUGUUAUACUAUCCUGUAUUAUUCUCCAUUUUGUUUCAUUUGUUAGUCAUGUCUCCUCAGUUUGUUUGCCCAUAUUACAAGCUUGAGGUGAGGAGUGGGGGGAAUAGUGUGGUCUGGUAGACAGAAGUCUAGACUUGCAGCAGAAAUAUCUGGGUUAUCCUGCCUCUGACACUUUCUGGCUGCAUGACCAUGAACAAGUUUUUCAACCCGUCUGACGCUCAGUUUCCUCCUCCAUAAAGGGGAGAUGACAAAACCUAUAGCAUAUUCUUCACAGUACUAUUGUAAGGCCUAACAAUAUAAAGCACUUUGUAGCAAAUUAUUUGUCGAACCUGGGCCAGGUCUCUGUUGCAUUUUUCCCCCACAUUUCUUGUGCUGUUGCCAAAGGCUAGUGUACAUGGACACUGGGGCACAGCCAAUUUGGGGGAAUAGGAAGUGGACCCCUCCUGGAUCUCCAAACUCCUAAUAGAUUCUCUUCUGGGACAGUGGCCAGAGAUCCAAGAUCUGGUUACCCUCAAAAACCCCACUCAGUCAAUAAAAUGCAAGAGCUCUUAGAGACCUCAGCAGGCACAGUAAAUGAGUAGUUACACUCAUUGUCCCUACAAUUACAGGUAGGUGACUAAAUGGUAUAGUGGCUAGAGUACUGGACUUGAAUCAGGAAGACCUUGGUUCAAAUCCUACCUCAGACUCUAGGCAAGUCAUUUAACCCCUGUGAACUUCAGUUUCCCCAGCUAUAAAAUGAGUAUGAUAAUAACCCCUAACAUAACAUCACAGGAUUGUUGAGAGGUUAGAAUUAGAUUAACACAUAUAAACCUUAAAGUACUAUAUAAAUGCUAGCUAAUAUUACAGAGACUGUGAUAUCCAGCAAUAGCCACAAAUUUCCCCACAGAAUCUUUACUACCUGCUCUUUCAAAUUCCAGGACUUGCAAAGUAACUAACUAGCAUAACCUGGCCAAAGAAACUACACAGUAAGGUUGGUGAGCAGCUUCAAUUCCUUUCAUUUUACUUGUAAAGGUGAGUUAUAGAAUCAUAUUAUGUUAGAUUAAAAGCGGCAAGGCUAUAUAUGCAAAUAAGCAUGACUAACUUGUAGGGUUUGGGGGGAGGAAGAGGCAGGACAGGCAAACAGGAACUGUGUUCAUUAAGUUACUGAGUUAAUCCAGUGUUUCUAAAUGAAUUUUAAAGUGCUCCAAAGUAGCAUUGAAAGUGUUGGUUUAAUUAUGCUCGAUACUGAUAUCUGGAAUGGAGAACCAUGGCUUUGAGAAGGCAAAUGGCUGGAGCUAAGUGUUGAGAAACACAGGCAUAAUCCGUGCACUUCUAGCUAGUAGCCAACAGCUGGUAGGGAGUGGCCAGAGGAGUAGGGCAAUUAAGGAGCGGCAUUUGGACCUGGGCAAUUGGAAGUAGGGUUGUCAAUGGCAGAGAUGAAGGGAGAAAUUAGUGGGUUCUAAGUUCCAAAGCUGAUA